rnacentral:lncRNA from 1 species
UUUUUGUGUGUGUGUGUGUGUGUCUUGAAAUAGUAUUGUCUAGUUAUUUUUCUAUUCCUAUUUGUUAUUCUUACUUCCUUCCAAAUUACUAAAUUUCUACCACACACACACACACACACACACACACACACACACACACACACACACACACACACACACACACACACACACACACACAGGUAUAAAGGCAGCUCAUGGCCGAACAUCAACCUUUUGUUUUGUGCAGUUUUUCUUAAAGCAGAGUUGUAUCUGGUGCUGUCAGGAGUGUCAGAAACAGACUGAGCAUGUUCUCUGUUCCGCACAGCUAACUGAACUUUUGCCUCUGUUCCAUUAAAUCCCAGCAGGCACUGGGGCUCUGGAAGGCAGAACAGGUUGCCAGUAGUUUCAGUUUAGUGUCUAAUGAUCCCUGAACUUCAGAAACCAUACAGGACCUUGAUCUGAUCCCGCUCAAGGCCGUCCAGCACACCACACCAGCCAGAGACACAAAGAAUAAAUAAGCACAGUACAGACAAAAAUAAUUGUUAUUUUUCAUUAUUUUAUAAAAGAUAUUUUGAGUUGUUGUUGUUGUUGUUAAGGAAUUCAUGUUAUGUCAUUUUCACACACACACACGCACACGCACACGCACACACACACACACACACACACACACACAUGCACACACACACACACACACACACACACUAUGGUUUUGCCUAAUUUUGUGUUUUUCAGGACAAACACCGCUCUGUGACCAUAAAACUACAAGGAGAACAAGCAAAAGAGUGACCCUGAACCUGACACGCAUGGAACAACAACAAAACUGCCUCGCAUGUGCAUGCAAAGGUGUCUCCCGCCUCCUUAGCUAAGUGUCUUGUCAUGUUGCAUUCAGCUCGGCGCAUCAGAACAAGAGCGCUGCGGCUUUUAUUCCCCAUCCAGUGACCUCCUUCUGUUUCUCUGCCCCCGUUGUGUUUCAGAAGCACUUCUGCCAAGGUGCUCAUGUGAAAUGAAUGUUUAUCAGCAAGACUGUUUAAGCGAUGGUGACCAGCGAUUUCUACAGGAGAUGCACUGUUGGAUGCGAGCUUGGCCCGAUGCCCGGAUGCUCUUUACCACCCUGUAUGUGUGAUCGCAUUAGGAGGCCGAAAACAAGUCACUGAAAGCCCAUCAUGCAGUGCUCGCAGCAGCCAUCUAAGGUUGAUAAAGAAAUGCCACCCGCUCGGGGUACCUGGUAAUGGGCAGUAAAGGCUGACAGGUCAGACAUUAUGUGAUGGCCUAUUAUUAAAUGUUUGCGUCAUGAAGAACUGUGAAUUGCUCUGUUGCAGUGGGUGGCUUUUUUAUGCUUUAGGUCCCUUGCAACCCUUAAAGUCUAGAUCCGUUAAAAGAGCAUUUUGUCUUGAUAAGAGUGGGCUCUUUUGUUAAAUUUAAUUUCGGUUCAAAGAAAAAAACACUGCUUUUGCCCUGAGCUUGACAUACUGGCUAUUAUGAACUGUCAUUGUGCGGAAAUAACAGUGCAGAGAUCCUAAUGCCUUUUAAGGACAAUAACUAUAAAGAUAAUGUUUUGAAGAAACUGUAUGUAGUUUUGUGAAGGAUAUUUUUCCAACUUUUAUGGCAGUUUAGUGAGUGGAAUUCACUGUCGUUAAUAUGUCGCUGUAAUAACUAUAGUGCAGCUGUACACGUGCAUUUGUUGCUGCUGUAAAGUGAUGAAAGCUCUUCAAAGCUCUGAAUCAAUUGAGUCAAUUGUUUCGUGUUCAGAAGCAUUCAAAACACAACAGGUCAAGAUGAAACAAGGUCAAGAAGCAAUUAUCAUUGUUAUUUUAGUAUUAUAUAUAUAUAUAUAUAUAUAUAUAUAUAUAUAUAUAUAUAUGUGUGUGUGUGUGUGUGUGUGUGUGUGUGUGUGUGUGUGUGUGUGUGUGUGUGUAUCAAAAUUAGCAUACAUAAUAAAAGCCAUCUAGCAGCCAAUCAUAAAUUUGAAAUGCUUCGAAACCAAGGUUCGACGUACGAAGCAUCGUUUGCUGAAUUCACGUGACUUGGCAAGUUCCAUACAAGCUGGAAACAUAUGAUUCAUAAACGUUUUGAAGCUUCACGAAGCAGUUUUGCAAAAGCACCGAUCAAUUACCGCCCUUUCAAUUUUGUACCCGCGCAGCAAACUUACUCUCAGAAAGGACUUUUGGAAAGAAAUAGAAGAUAUUUGCAGCAUUAGAAGUCAAUGUACCAUCAGAAUGAUUUUGAAACUGAUUUAACAAGGUAAAAACAUAUACAGUCGCGUUAAUAAUAGUCUUAAAUCUAAGAAAAAUGGUGAAGUUAACAUCUCUGUUAGGCCAAAUAUGUUGAAAUCAUUUAAAGAACGAUUUUAGAAAAUGUUCAAAACAUUGACUUUAAAGAACGUGCGAGAGUUCGAAAAACGCAGCGUGCGCUUUGAAUAGUAUAAAAGUUUUCGUCCCUUGGAGUGUAGCCUAUAGACAUUUUCCACAUUAUCGGGUUUCUCAGCAGCGGAAGUCGUCAUAGUUGGGUAAACUUCGAGAGCAGUUAAUGGGUAGAGUACUACUAAUCUUUCUUUCUUUUCUUUUUUUUUUUUUUUUUUUUUUGUUCAUUCCCAUUUGCAUUUCCAUCAAGUGUUUUAACUACUUUCAGUCAAAGAAACGCGUUGAAAUGCAUCAUCAAAGUCUUGUGAAAAGGGUCCGUUGUUGAUGUUUUUAAUAGAUAGUUAAAUUAUAUACCUUUAUUAAAUUUCUGAACUAUUUCUCUACAGAUCAGUAAGAAGAGAAAAGCAUUUUGUACACAGGUGUCGUCUGUUCCGGAAUUCCUAACAAGGAAUCACAAAUGAACGCUGAACAUAUUAAUCUCGAGUUAGAAGAGAUUAAAGAUGCUCCAAUAAUUUGAGCACUAAAGCUAUGCUGCUAAUUUCAUUUUUAUUGGCAGUCUGCAUUAAACGGUAGUGCUUAAUUACUCAUUUCUAGUAAUCGGCCUGAACCCGAGGCUGCUGACUUUAACAGUACAGUGCAAACAAUAAUUAGAUCAAUGGCACAUUAUUUUGGCCAGUGAGCACUGAAAUUGAAAGGGAAGUCUCCUAAAUAUGUCCUCUGGCAGUGAGUGUAGUCCUACGUGCAUUUUACAAAGGCAUUCAAGAAAUCAAUACCAUUAUUAAGAGAAACAAGAGAAAUGUUCAUAUUUAGGUUGAUAACAACACAAAGAUCAAUGAAUAUGCACUUAAGAUACUUGUUACAUGACUACAGUUUUGCAUUUGUUUGUUUCUUGUGCUCAGCUAAUUUCUUUUGAAAUUGUCUAGUUUUCAGUAAACAUGCUGCCAUCGUGUUAGCCAUUAAAUUCACGCAGGCCCCCAGUUUUGUUGUUCAUGUAUGUUGUAUUUGCAAUAGGCAAAAUUAUUGCAUUAAUAUUAGGUUAUUUAUGUAAAAAUUAAAAUUUUUGGUGUGGUUAUUUUAGUGUCAUUAACAUUAUAAUAUUACAUUUCUGAAUUCCUUUUUAUACCUUCCCUUUUCAAUUUGAUUUUAGUUAACGUUUUUAGUAAUUAGUUGUGUUUUGUCAUUUUUCUUAGUUUUUUUAUGUCUGUCUGUCUUGUUUUUUAUUCAUGUUUUAUUUCAGUUUUAAUUUGAGUUAUUUUAUCAAGAAAUAAAGGGAGAAAUGUUGCCUUGGCAUCUAGCUGAAAUAAAAUAAAAUUUGAAAUUGUUUUUUUUUUUUUUUUCUUCAGGUGACAAAAAAGUGUUUUGUUGUUCUUGUUUUAGUUAACUAUAAUAACCCUGCUCUAUGGAAUUAGUGUCUAACGACAU